UGUGUGUGUGUGUGUGUGUGUGUGUGUGUCUAUAGAUAGAUUUAACUUUGCUCUUUUGUCAGGUUCUUCAUAGCGUGCACAUGAUGGUCAGCAAAUGGUACAUGCCAAGUUUUCAAAUGUCACAACAAAAUGAAGAUCAUGUGCCUGAGUAAUAAAAUCAGCUAACUGAAGGAGAUACUUUAAGAACAGGAGCAACUAGAAGAUGUCAGGAGAAAGAAGGUCAGGGAUACAAAAUAUUGAGGCAGUAGCUACAAAUAAUCACACACAAACCAACAAAGGAAAAAAAAAUAAUAAAUUUAAGUACAAGUGUACCGCAAAAGGAGCCUAAAUAAGAUAUCGAAUAGGGCAAGGAAGACUGUAAGAAGAGGCAAUAAGAGUGGUGGACUCCAAGGGCGAAUAAGGGAGGAGGGGGAAUUCACGAAGAGAGUGGAGAAGAUUAACCCGCAACAAAGUGGGGGGAGGCAAGGAAAAUGGGGGACUAAGGAAGAGAAUGAGGAAAGGCAGCAAAAUGGGAUGGGAGAGAAGAUAGCAAGCAAACAAGACUGGAAUAAGCUAAAGCAAGACUGGGUGGGCAAGGAGACAAGCGAAAAGAAGAGAGUCAAAAACAAAAAAGAAUAAGAAAAAUGAGGAGGCGGAAAGGAAGACUGGAAGUUUCCUCCCAAACACCAAGCUAGCUCUGGUGUGCCAACCUCAUCAUCUAUGUGGACAUCCCUAGAAAACAUUCUGCCAAGAGAUGGUUCUCUGAGUAGAGGAAGAAAUAGAGGUGUCUGUGAAAAUGAAGGUGAUAUAAAAACAAGAAAUAUCCACACAAAAAAUUC